AGGAACGGGAAGGAGGGAAGGAAGCAGGUGAGGGAAGGAAGGACGGAAAUGAGGGGAAGGGGUGUAAAUAGGAAGGAAGGAAGGAAAGAAGGAAAGAAAGAAGAAAAGUGGGAAGGGGAAGGGAAGGUGUAGGAAGGAAGGAAGGAAGGAAGGAAGGAAGGAAGGAGAAGUUGGGAAAGUAUAUGAGGGAAGAAAGGUAGGAAAGAAAGAAGAAAGAGAGAGUAGGAGCAU